rnacentral:rRNA from 1 species
GUGCCAGCCGCCGCGGUAAUACGGAGGAUCCAAGCGUUAUCCGGAUUUAUUGGGUUUAAAGGGUGCGUAGGCGGCCUGUUAAGUCAGGGGUGAAAGACGGUAGCUCAACUAUCGCAGUGCCCUUGAUACUGAUGGGCUUGAAUACACUAGAGGUAGGCGGAAUGUGACAAGUAGCGGUGAAAUGCAUAGAUAUGUCACAGAACACCGAUUGCGAAGGCAGCUUACUAUGGUGUCAUUGACGCUGAGGCACGAAAGCGUGGGGAUCAAACAGGAUUAGAUACCCCCGUAGUCC